CACACUUAUCUAUCAAACAUCAUAAACACCAUAUCUUUAAUUAUUCAUUUGAAUUCAUUAAAGAGGAGUAUAAAUAUAUCAUUAGACUAAUUAGCACAUGAUCAAACACACAUUAAACCACUCUUUUUCUUGGUUCAACCGCACCGUGAUCAUGAAACUAAAAUCAAAAGAGAGCCUAACGCUGAUCAGUUCUAACUUCACUCUUCCUCCUCCAAUCACCGAACGAAGCUGGGAAAAAGAACCAUGGUCACCUCUUGAUGCGUUGCUUGCAUGUUGCCAAGGAAGGGAGCCACGAAGCUUUCUGCACCAGCUCACCUCGUCUCCACCUCUCCUGUAUAAAUGAACUAAGCUUCUCAUUCUUCUUCAUACAACAAAACAUGCACAAACAGAAGAAAAAAAGAGAAAAAGAACGAAAUAGAGCUGAGGGAAAAGGAAGGAGCUAUCCGCAGCAAAAAGACAGACGCACCAUUCCUCAUCAUUCUGAUCCUUCGAAGCCUCCUUGCUGGUUGUAACCAUAAGUAAAGGAGAAGUGUGAACUCUUCUCUUGCUCAAGCUUGAAUCGGCCGUUUAUCCUUGGGAGGAGUGACCGAAGCUUGAAUUUCGUGUGGCUAGGGUUUCUAUUUCAAGGAAGAAGCAGAAACAGAAUUUUGAACUUCAAAGAAAGUAAGGGUUAGAAAAAUCUGUGCUAUGUGCAAUUAGUUGUUAUAGUAAUUGUUGAUGAUGAUUUUGUGUAUUUUGAAAUUAUACUUGCUGUUAGUAUUUGUUGAUGAUGAUUUUGUGUAUUGAAUGUUGUAAUAGUUUCUUGCUGAUGAACCAUGACUUGAGAUAUGUUUUUGUUGAUGAGAUGCUGAAAAUUUAUGUUGUGACAUUGUGGUUACAUUGAACCUAUUGUUCGAAUUUUGACAUAUUAAAUUAAGAAUUCUUGGGAUGUGAUAGGAGUUGAGACUAGUAUAUAUGACUAUAAUAAAGUAGGAUCAAUGAUGAUUAGAGCUUAGAAAAUUAGGAAAUCAAGUUUGGGUGUUAGAACUUUAGGAAAACAUGUAGAAAUUCUGCAGAACUUUGGACAACAAUUUAAAAUGAAUUCUAGAGCAAUCUGGCCAGUCUUUAUGAGCGAAAUUAUUUUUGUAAUAAACUUUAAGAAGUCAAUAUUAUCCCAUAAAAUUUCAAAGAAUUUCGUCAAGUGGUUUGGGAGAUAUGAUUUUUCAAAAUUUGGUAGUCGUUGUUGAAUUUUCUGGUUUUUCCAGUUCUCCAAUGUUAUCUUCCAGCCACUAGAACUUUUGAUUUACUCAAUAUCUUAAGGUGCUACUAAAGGGAUUCUGAAGAUCUAUAAGUAUAGUUUAAUUGAGUAUAAGUUUUAUGUUCAUAGCUAUUUUGUAGAUUUAAUUAGGUUACUUGGAAGAUGGGUUGCUCGCUGAAAAUUUUGAACUGGUUUAUGAAAAUAGGGUAUCACUUUCAAUUAACAAUUAAUUAAUCAAAUGAAGUGAUAUGAACCUGAAACUUAUUUUGUUUGAAACUUAGAUAUGUUGAGUGUAACCUCACCAAAGAUUAGAAGCUUUAGGCUAGAAUUAGAUUUUUAGUGAUUUUUACAAAAGAUAUCUGUUAUGCUGUUUUUUGCAGAAUUGUUAGUGCAGUUGCAGAUUUUUAGUGAAAUUGUUCCAACCAUUGCUUCUAUUCUAUACUAUCAAUUUGAAUGAAACAAAUUUUUCCAUAAAAAUCAGUUUUUAUGAAUUCAAAGAGAUUAAUGAUGUAGCUUAUAAGGUGACAUGUUCAACAAAACUUUAUAAAACGGGUUUCACAAAACUGAACAUGUUCCUAAGCUUCUAUAAUUAAUCAAAUGAUAUGACAUGAAGCCGAAACUCAAUUUAAAUAGAACCUAGAUGAGUUCAGUGUGUUUUCAUCAAAUUUUACAGCAUUAUGAACAAAAUUGAAUUUUAUCGAAAAUUUAGAAAUUUUACCCGUUUAUUAAAAUUUCAGAAAAAUCGGCAAGGAGCAACUUCUUUAGAAAUUUGGUAAAAAUUCAAUUUCAACCUAAUUCUUCUAAAAUUUGAUGGAAACACACUGAACUCAUAUAGGUUUUAUAUAAAUCGAGUUUCAGCUUCAUUUCACGUCAUUUGAUUAAUUAACGAAGCUUAGGAACAUGUUCAGUUUUAUGAAAUCCAUUUUAUAAAGUUUUGUUGAACAUGUCACCUUAUAAGUUACAUAAUUAAUCUCUUGAAAUAUGUAUAGAUCUGAAAAUUGAAUCACAUAUUCUAUACAUAUCAACCUUUUGUUUGCCAAAAGUUUUAAGUCAAAAGCUUUCCAGGAUUCCAAGAUAUGUAAAUUAGAAGGUGAUACUUUGAAUUCAGAAAAACUUAUUUUUGUGCAGAAAACUAUUAAAAUUCUAAAAUUCAUAACUUCCAAUUCACAAAUCAAACAACUCUGCACUUUUUAAGCAAACCAGUAGACAUAUCAAAAUUUUAUGAAAAUUUGGUUUCAUUCAAAUUGAUGGUCUAGAAUAGGAGCAAUCGUUGGAACAAUUUCACUAAAAAUCUACAGCUGUUAAUAAUUCUGCAGAAAACAGCAUCGCAGCGACCUUUUUGUAAAAACCAUUAAAAAUAUAAUUCUAGCCUAAAGCUUCCAAUCUUUGGUGAGGUUACACUCAAAACACCUAAGUUUCAAACAAAAUAAGUUUCAGGUUCAUAUCACUUCAUUUGAUUAAUUAAUUGUUAAUUGGAAGUAAUGCUCUAUUUUCGUAAACCAGUUCAAAAUUUUCAGCGAGUAACUCAUCUUCCAAGUAAUCUAAUUAAAUCUACAAAAUAGCUAUGAACAUGAAACUUAUACUCAAUUAAACUAUACUUACAGACCUCAAAAUCCCUUUGGUAGAAACUUAAGAUGUUGAGUAAAUCAAAAGUUCUAGUGGCUGGAAGAUGACACUGGAAAAACCAGAAAAUUCAACAACGACUACCAAAUUUUGAAAAAUCAUAUCUUCCAAACCACUUGACCAAAUUCUUUGAAAUUUUAUGGGAUAAUCUUGACUUCUUGAAGUUUAUUAUAAAAAUAAUAUUGCUCAUAAAGACUGGCCAGAGUGCUCGCAGAAUUCAUUUUAAGUUGCUGUCCAAAGUUCUGUAGAAUUUCUACAAUAUGUUUUCCUGAAGUUCUAAAACCCAAACUUUGAUUUCCCAAUUUUCUAAGCUCUAUUAAUCAUUGAUCCUACUUUCUUAUAGUCAUAUAUACUGGUCUCAACUCCUAUCACAUCCCAAGAAUUCUUAAUUCAAUAUGUCAAAAUUCGUACAAUAGGUUUAAUGUAAUCACAAUGUCACAACAUAAAAUUUUUUUUAAAAAAAAUUGAAGAAGAAGAGAAUGAGAGUUGUUGGCUCUCACCCAACAAGGAGGCUUCGAAGGAUCAUAAUGAUGAGGAAUGGUGUGUAUGUCUUCUUGCUGCGGAUAGCUCUUUCCUUCUCCCUCAACUCCGUUUCAUUCUUUUUCUCUUUUCUUUCUUCUGUUUGUGCCUGUUUUGUUGUAUGAAGAAAAAUGAGAAGCUUAGCCCAUAUAUAUAGGAGAGGUGGAGAAAAGGUGAGCUGGUGCAGAAAGCUUCGUGGCUCCCUUCCUCAGCAACAUACAAGCAACGCAUCAAGAGGUGACCAUGGUUCUUUUCCAGUUUCGUUCGGUGAUGAGAGGAGGAAGAGUGAAGUUAGAACUGAUCAGGGUUAGGCUCUCUCUUGGUUUUAGUUUCAUGAUCACGAUUCGGUUGAACCAAGACAAAGAACGGUUUAAUGAGUGUUUGAUCAUGUGCUAACUAGUCUAAUGAUAUAUCUAUACUCAUCUUUAAUGAAUUCAAAUGAAUAAUUAAAGAUA